AAUAGAUACCCGGGUAGUCCAUGCCGUAAACGUUGGGCACUAGGUGUGGGACCCCCUCAACGGGUUCCGUGCCGUAGCUAACGCAUUAAGUGCCCCGCCUGGGGAGUACGGCCGCAAGGCUAAAACUCAAAGGAAUUGACGGGGGCCCGCACAAGCAGCGGAGCAUGUUGCUUAAUUCGAGGCAACGCGAAGAACCUUACCUGGGUUUGACAUGUACGGAAAAGCCACAGAGAUGUGGUGUCCUUUUGGGCCGUACACAGGUGGUGCAUGGUUGUCGUCAGCUCGUGUCGUGAGAUGUUGGGUUAAGUCCCGCAACGAGCGCAACCCUUGUCCUAUGUUGCCAGCGGGUAAUGCCGGGGACUCGUAGGAGACUGCCGGGGACAACUCGGAGGAAGGUGGGGAUGACGUCAAAUCAUCAUGCCCCUUAUGUCCAGGGCUGCAAACAUGCUACAAUGGCCAGUACAAAGGGCUGCUAUACCGCGAGGUUGAGCGAAUCCCACAAAGCUGGUCUCAGUUCGGAUUGGAAGUCUGCAACUCGACUCC
rnacentral:rRNA from 1 species